UACGGGGGGGUAAGCGUUGUUCGGAAUUACUGGGCGUAAAGGGCUCGUAGGCGGCCAACUAAGUCAGACGUGAAAUCCCUCAGCUUAACUGGGGAACUGCGUCUGAUACUGCGGUGCUUGAGGAUCAGAGGGGUGCAUGGAAUUUCCGGUGGAGCGGUGAAAUGCGUUGAUAUCGGAAGGAACUCCGGCGGCGAAAGCGGCGUUCUGGACUGCAACUGACACUGUAAAACGAAAGCCAGGGGAGCAAACGGG
rnacentral:rRNA from 1 species